rnacentral:misc_RNA from 1 species
UACGUAGGGGGCAAGCGUUGUUCGGAAUUACUGGGCGUAAAGCGCGCGCAGGCGGCCUCUUAAGUCUGAUGUGAAAGCCCCCGGCUUAACCGGGGAGGGCCAUUUGAAACUGCGAGGCUUGAGUAUAGGAGAGAGGGGUGGAAUUCCACGUGUAGCGGUGAAAUGCGUAGAGAUGUGGAGGAACACCAGUGGCGAAGGCGACUCUCUGGCCUAUAACUGACGCUGAGGCGCGAAAGCGUGGGGAGCAAACAGG